rnacentral:rRNA from 1 species
GAGUGCUUGCACUAUUUCGGACGUCGACGGGCGCACGGGUGAGUAACGCGUAUCCAAAUUUUCCCAUAACUAAGGGAUAACCUGCCGAAAAGGCAGACUAAUACCUUAUUGUAAUCCUUUGACGGCAUCAGAUUAGGAUUAAAGAUUUAUCGGUUAUGGAUGGGGAUGCGUCUGAUUAGCUUGUUGGCGGGGUAACAGCCCACCAAGGCAACGAUCAGUAGGGGUUCUGAGAGGAAGGUCCCCCACAUUGGAACUGAGACACGGUCCAAACUCCUACGGGAGGCAGCAGUGAGGAAUAUUGGUCAAUGGGCGAGAGCCUGAACCAGCCAAGUAGCGUGCAGGACGACGGCCCUAUGGGUUGUAAACUGCUUUUGUAUGGGGAUAAAGUCAAUCACGUGUGAUUGUUUGCAGGUACCAUACGAAUAAGGACCGGCUAAUUCCGUGCCAGCAGCCGCGGUAAUACGGAAGGUUCGGGCGUUAUCCGGAUUUAUUGGGUUUAAAGGGAGCGUAGGCCGGAGAUUAAGUGUGUUGUGAAAUGUAGACGCUCAACGUCUGACUUGCAGCGCAUACUGGUUUCCUUGAGUACGCACAACGUUGGCGGAAUUCGUCGUGUAGCGGUGAAAUGCUUAGAUAUGACGAAGAACUCCGAUUGCGAAGGCAGCUGACGGGAGCGCCACUGACGCUUAAGCUCGAAGGUGCGGGUAUCGAACAGG